rnacentral:misc_RNA from 1 species
UACCCGUCGGGCCCCCCGGGGCCCGUGUUGGGGCACUGCGGCCGCCGCGCCGCAGGCCCUCAAAUGGAAUGGCGGGACCGCCCCCGCGCCGAGCGUAGUAUAGCACAUCGCUCCGGCGCGGCGGCGGCCUCUUCUGCCUCAGCGCUUUAGCA